rnacentral:rRNA from 1 species
AUUGAACGCUGGCGGCAGGCCUAACACAUGCAAGUCGAGCGGAUGAGGGUAGCUUGCUACCCGAUUCAGCGGCGGACGGGUGAGUAAUGCCUAGGAAUCUGCCCGAUAGUGGGGGACAACGUUUCGAAAGGAACGCUAAUACCGCAUACGUCCUACGGGAGAAAGUGGGGGAUCUUCGGACCUCACGCUAUCGGAUGAGCCUAGGUCGGAUUAGCUAGUUGGUGAGGUAAUGGCUCACCAAGGCUACGAUCCGUAACUGGUCUGAGAGGAUGAUCAGUCACACUGGAACUGAGACACGGUCCAGACUCCUACGGGAGGCGGCAGUGGGGAAUAUUGGACAAUGGGCGAAAGCCUGAUCCAGCCAUGCCGCGUGUGUGAAGAAGGUCUUCGGAUUGUAAAGCACUUUAAGUUGGGAGGAAGGGCUGUAGGCUAAUAUCCUGCAGUUUUGACGUUACCAACAGAAUAAGCACCGGCUAACUUCGUGCCAGCCGCCGCAGUAAUAC